CCUACGGGGUGCAGCAGUGAGGAAUAUUGGUCAAUGGGCGGGAGCCUGAACCAGCCAAGUCGCGUGAGGGAAGACGGUCCUAUGGAUUGUAAACCUCUUUAGGCGGGGAGCAAUGACGGGCACGCUUGCCCGGAGGGAGAGUACCCGCCGAAUAAGCAUCCGCUAACUCCGUGCCAGCAGCAGCGGUAAUACGGAGGAUGCUAGCGUUAUCCGGAUUGAUUGGGGUUAAAGGGUGCGUAGGCGGAUUUUUAAGUCAGCGGGAAAAUGUCCGGUCUCAACCAGGGCCGGCCGUUGAAACGGGGGAGCUUGAGUGGGCGAGAAGUAUGCGGAAUGCUCGGUGUAGCAGUGAAAUGCGUAGAUAUCGAGAGGAACACUCGUGGCGAAGGCGGGUUCCUGGACAUUAACUGACGCUGAGGCACGAAGGCCAGGGGAGCGAAAGGGAUUAGAUACCCUUGUAGUC
rnacentral:rRNA from 1 species